CAUCUUGUUUUCGAAAACAGAGAGCAACGAAGAACCCGUUACACAGUACAUGCACGCAUCCAAUCUAUUGCAUCACUUUAGUGCAUGCAUUCAGCAGCUGAUGCAAAAUUUCAUUUGACCGCGACGAGUAACGUCGAUGAUAAGUGAUAAUUCGUUCAGAGGGUGUGUUCAAUCUAAAUGGGCUACGCUAACAAGAAGGCCACAGUUCUGUAUUGAACUGUUUAUCUUUAUAACACACAUUAUAGUUUUGUGUGUAAUCAAUUAAACCUGAAAUCGAUUUAGGUUAGACCUGUCAACAGUAUCGAUUAAGUAGAUAAUAUGCUGAAUUGAAAUAAAAUGAUGAGUCUCUUAAUUUUGGACCAUCGACGUGAAAGGUUGUAUUUUUUUAAACUGAACAUUAAAGUGGCGACGAGUUGAUAAAAUUGGACGGACACAAUCAAAGAAGGAGUCUGAAUUGCUGGAGUGGGGUAGAUAUACGGACAAUCGCUGUAAUUAAAGAACUGGUCGAAAGCGACGCUGAUUUCACGUGCUGGCGCAAUAGGGUGUCACGUAUGCUAUAGAGGAGAAGUUUAACGUUAUACGGAAAAUAUAGAUUGAAGAUAUAAAAAAGAGAGAAUUGAAACUGGGAUCAAAAUUGUUCUUAAAGAUUGCACUCGGCGCUCACAUAGUCUCGGCCCACAGGGGGCAGAUGAAGUUGCCAAACUAUGAGGGACAGAAACGCAAUGUGGCGAUUCGUGUUACGAGUCAGUAAGAACGAAGAGGAACUAAGAGAACUAGAUGCAUAUCUGAAGAGGAAGAAGAUUUCAAAGGAUUCGAGUCAACUGGGGAGGCACCUACUCCAGCUAAACCUGAGAGACAUCCAGUAAAAUUGAAAGCAGCAAUAACAAGUAAAAGUCAUAUUUCGAACGAUGCAUAUGAUAACAAUCGUGCUAAUACACAAAGACUCAGAAGGUCUAAUCGAGUAAAAAAGAGAAAUUUAGAAAACGAUUUCGUUUAUACAUAAUCAGUUAGAUAUUUUGCUUUCGAAAUUAAAAGUGUAAUUUCAUAUUGUCAAAAUAGUUUCAUAUGUUGUAAAAAUAUUGUACAUAGAUUCUUAAGAGAGAAGGUAUUGUAUUGAACUGUUUAUCUUUAUAACACACAUUAUAGUUUUGUGUGUAAUCGAUUAAACCUGAAAUCGAUUUAGGUUAGACCUGUCAACAGUAUCGAUUAAGUAGAUAAUAUGCUGAAUUGAAAUAAAAUGAUGAGUCUCUUAAUUUUGGACCAUCGACGUGAAAGGUUGUAUUUUUUUAAACUGAACAUUAAAAGUCCGAAAAAUAUACAUAUUUCUAACGAAUCA